ensembl:lncRNA
CAUGAAACCACUGUGGAAAUACUCCAUUCCUUUUUAAGAAAUUCACAAUUUAGGGUCCUGUCAGCAGCUCUGGGGUCUUUUGUUAGGUGCACUUAAAAUGCCAGAUUAAAUAUUAAUAUGUGGUUAGAGUUGUGCUAUUUUGCAAGCCCUGAAACCCUAUUAGUAAAUCAUGAUCUGGUGACUGAUGCAAGAAAUUUCAAGGAACCAAGAGUGCAGAUUGCCCAUCAAUCUGAUGGAUCACUAAUUUUUAGUAAAUCAGGCCCUUGGACUUUUAGCUGUAAGCAGACGUAUGUUUCAUUGUGACGGGAAAAGCAGUCCAACUAAAAGAGCAAUUUUCUGCACUGAAUGUGUACCGUAACAGGCAGAGUUGUUUUGCAUAAUCACUAAGUUAUUUGAAUACAAGUGUUCAUUUAGCAGGCUGUGCAUGAGUGAUGCUGUUCUUGGGAAAAAAAGCCCACAUUUUUAGCUAGAAGAGAAAGCUGAAUUAUUUUAAUAGAAUAGUACUAGGAUUUCAAAAGGGAUCCUCAGGAUUGGAGAGCUUCAGAAGGACAAUGACCAAGGACAAGAAGGGUUAUAUCUUCCCAGCCCUCCAAAGGAGCUGCAUCUCCUCUGUAGGCUUCAUCACCCAUGGUCCUGCAAGGGGAGGAACCAGUCAGGGGGUGACAUCUUCAUGGCACUUCAAGUUAAUUGAAGUCAAAUUUGAAUAUAAGUAUGUAUAAGAGAUGCUCCAAAAGUGCUCCAAAAGCUCCAAAAGAAGAGAUGCUUCCUAUUUUA